AGGCUGAUCCCAGAGGUCUCAUUUUCACACAACGGGGAAAUGAUUUACAAUUAUUUGAAGCUUUUGGAAAAAGUUCACUUUGCUGUAGGCAUGGAUUGUCCCGGAUGCGAAAUAAGGGUGACAGAAAUAAUUUAAAUUAAAAAGAUAUUCUAGCUAUACUGCUAUCAGAAAUCGUUUCUUUUCUCUUGCUUG